rnacentral:tRNA from 1 species
GUGGAAAUGCCAGAGUGUAUAUGGACUUGGUUUAGGACUAAGUUACGAUAAUUAUAUCUUUCCAUU